AUUGAACGUUGGCGGCGGGCCUAACACAUGCAAGUCGAACGGUAGCACAGAGAGCUUGCUCUCGGGUGACGAGUGGCGGACGGGUGAGUAACGUCUGGGAAACUGCCCGAUGGAGGGGGAUAACUACUGGAGACGGUAGCUAAUACCGCAUAACGUCGCAAGACCAAAGUGGGGGACCUUCGGGCCUCACACCAUCGGAUGUGCCCAGAUGGGAUUAGCUAGUAGGUGGGGUAAUGGCUCACCUAGGCGACGAUCCCUAGCUGGUCUGAGAGGAUGACCAGCCACACUGGAACUGAGACACGGUCCAGACUCCUACGGGAGGCAGCAGUGGGGAAUAUUGCACAAUGGGCGCAAGCCUGAUGCAGCCAUGCCGCGUGUAUGAAGAAGGCCUUCGGGUUGUAAAGUACUUUCAGCGGGGAGGAAGGCGGUGAAGUUAAUAGCUUCACCGAUUGACGUUACCCGCAGAAGAAGCACCGGCUAACUCCGUGCCAGCAGCCGCCGUAA
rnacentral:rRNA from 1 species